GCUUGUAACCCAAGCGGGGGCAUGAGAGUGAUGGAACGUUGGUCCGACUCAGAGGGUAGGGUUGAGAGCGCUAUUUACUGGCCUGCCCACUCCAAGCGGAGAGCUGGGCCGCGUAAUCUUGGCGAAGGCUGAUGUUUCACGGGACUACAGGCUGGUGCGCUCCUGGCCCAUCAUUGCCCAAUGGGCGGCCCUAAUUGGACCAUCACUCUUU